GAGUUUGAUCAUGGCUCAGAACGAACGCUGGCGGCAGGCCUAACACAUGCAAGUCGAGCGCUACCUUCUGGUGGAACGUCAGACGGGUUACUAACGCGUGAGAAUAUACCCAGUUCUUACGAAUAACCACUGGAAACCGCGAGUAAUACCCUUAUACGCCCUUCAGGGGAAAGAUUUAUCAAAAUUGGAUUAUCCCUCAUUAUAUCACAUCGUUAGUAGGCUAAUGGCCAACCAAUUCUACGAUCUAUAACUGGUUUGAGAGGAUGAUCUCCUUCACUGGGACUGAAACACGACCCACACUCCUACGGCAGACACCCGUGCCAAAUCUUAAACGAUGGGCGCAAGCCUGAUCUAUCCAUGCCGCGUGAGUGACGAAGCCCCUCAUGCCGUAAAGCUCUUUCAACUCUGAAGAUUAUGACGGUCUCUAUACAAGAAACCCCAGCUAACUCCGUGCCUCCAUCCCCGUUAAUACACAUGGGGUUAACGUUCCUCCGAAUUACUGGCCGUCAACCGUACGUAUGCGGAUUAAUCAAUUAGUAGGUCAAAUCCCCUGGCUCAUACCCUGGAACUGCCUUUAAUACUGUUAGUCUUGAGAUCGACAUAGGUCACUGCAAUUCCAAGUGUAUUAGUAAUAUUCGAAUAUAUUUCGAAGAACACCAGUGGAAAAUGCUGCUCACUGGCUCGAUACUGACACUGAGGUACGAAAGUGUGGGGAGCAAACAGGAUUAGAUUCCAUGGUAGUCCACACCGUAAACGAUGAAUGCCUUAUGUCAGCAAGCAUGCUUGUUGGUGUCACACCUACCGGAUUAGAGCAUUCCGCAUGGGGAGUACGGUCGCAAGAUUAGAAGUCAAAGGAAUUGAGGGGGGCACGCACAAGCGUUGGAGCAUGUGGUAUAAUUCGACGCAACGCGCAGAACCUUACCAACCCUGGACAUACUUGUCGCGGAUUUCAGAGAUGGAUUCACUCAGUUUGGAUGGACAAUGUACAGUUGUGUCAUGACAGUUGUCAGCUAGUGUCGUGAGAAGUUCGGUUAAGUCCGGCAACGAGCGCAACGCAAGUCUUUAGUUACCAGCAUUUAGUUGGGUACCAUAAGGAGACAACCGGUGAUAAGCCGGAGGAAGGUGUGGACGAUGUCAAGUCAUCAUGGCCCUUACGGGAUGGGCCACACACGUGGUACAAUGGCAUGUACAGUGAGUUAAUUUUCAAAAGAUGUCUCAGUUUGGAUAGGGGUCUGCAACAUCGACCCCAUGAAGUUGGAAUAUCUAGUAAUCGUGGAACAGCAGAACCUCGGUGAAUACGUUUUCGGGCCUCGUACACACCGCCCGUCACACCAUGGGAAAUGGGUCUACCAGAAGGUGGUGCACCAACUCUUUAUAGGGGCAGCCAACCACGGUAGGUUCAGUGACUGGGGUGAAGUCGUAACAAGGUAACC
rnacentral:rRNA from 1 species